rnacentral:lncRNA from 1 species
GGUGAUUGGAGUGUCAUCUCUGUCACUUAUUCUCACGUGACCUUAGGUAAGUCAUCUCUCCGUCUUUACAUCAGAACUAAUACUUCCACUUGCCUCCCAUGAGGCUGAGGAUUCAAUAAGAGGAAAUCGAUACUGGGCACGGCCAGGCUGCGGGAGGCCCGUCCGCGUUGGUGACCUUGGCGCUUCCUUGCAGGCUCAAGGGUUCAUACGGACUGUCUAAACGCAGGUGAUUGGUAUUAUCAUUAGGCACAGAGUCGACACUUCAUCAAUACUGAUGACACGAUUGGAAUAAAACGUCCAAGACUUGAAAGGGAAAAGAGACGAUCCUUCCGCAACCCACUCAACAGCGUCCAGGCCAGCAAUUCCACGAGGCAUUUAGAAAAGAGUCGUGAUGAGGGGAUAAAACCAACCAGCCCACGCUUGGACACGUCCCUCACGAGGUCUUUGAGUUCUGUGGGGUUCCGAGACUAUCCAGGAGGAUCAAGGAGAAAGAAGGGAACAUGGGGCAGUUCUGACCCUGCUCCCCCACGACUUCCGGGCAUAAGGAGGAAUAAUGGCCGUGGCCGUAGCAAUCAUCAUACAACUCCCGGGCCAUGGGGAGGGUUGACCGGAUAUACGGAAACCGUGCAGAAUCACGAAGUGGGUAAGGACCCCGUAAGAGCCCCUGUUAGGGUUACUCUUGUCACACAGUGAAAUUCCAUGACCUUCCGGGUUCCACAAGAGACGGUGGGAGGACUGCGGUCAACACAGUGCAGUGCGACUGUCCUCAUGGAGUCCAUGUUCUAAAGAAAAGAUAUGUCCAUGACCCAGCGGAGAACAAAGAAGUAACUAGAAGCUUCUGGGUUUUCACUGAGGGAAACCGACGGGGCAGGCAGGGUGGGCUGGGGUUCAUCCAGAGACGUGGUCAGGGACAGUCCUUAGCUGAGACCUGAUAAGGAGAAGGAAGGUUCGAGACAGAGGGAAGAGCAACUGUGGCUUUCCGGGCUGCAGAGAAAACUUGAAAAACAUUGUCCCAAUUUGAUGAGCCUCAGUUACUAAUUUUGAAAAAAAAAGAUUAAAAAUGAUUUCUCAACAUUAUAGCCACAGACACGCACGUGGGCUCAGCACACACCAGGUGCUGUGCUAUAGCAAGUGUACGUACCCCAGGAGGCGGGUGCUGUCGCCCUUUCCAUUUCAAAACUGGUGGUGUUAGCAGACAUGGUGUCCCAUACCUGUGAUCCCGGCCACCCAAGGGGCUGACGCAGUGGGAUCGCAAGUUCGAGGCCAGCCUGGACAACUUAGCGAUGACCUUUUCUCAGAUUAACAUUAAAAGGGCUGGGCCUAUGGCUCGGUGAUAGAGUGUUUGCCAAGCCUGGUGGUUCCAUUCUCAGUGCUGCUAACAAACAAAUAAACAAACACCAACAAAAAUGAUCAUGCUGAAGAGUAGUAGAGUCAAGUUCUCCUAAAAAUUCACAAAGUUAGGAAGUGGAAAAAAACCAGGAUCCAAACCCAGGUUUGUCCUCCCUUUGUAAUACAGAGGAAUCGUGUUUGUCCUUAAUAUGCCCUUAACUUAGUCUAGAGCCUUUCUUCCUACUGACAAGAGGAAUUUGAGUUGCUCCUUGUCUUAGUCUGUUCUGUGUUGCCGUAAGAGAGUGCCCGACGCUGGGUG